UACGUAGGGGGCAAGCGUUGUCCGGAAUCAUUGGGCGUAAAGCGCGCGUAGGCGGUUUGUUAAGUCAGCUGUGAAAGCCCCGGGCUCAACCUGGGAACUGCAGUUGAUACUGGCCGACUAGAGUACGAGAGAGGGAGGUAGAAUUCCAUGUGUAGCGGUGAAAUGCGUAGAUAUAUGGAGGAAUACCAGUGGCGAAGGCGGCCUCCUGGCUCGAUACUGACGCUGAGGUGCGAAAGCGUGGGGAUCAAACAGG
rnacentral:rRNA from 1 species